rnacentral:rRNA from 1 species
CCUUCGGGUUGAAACCGCUUUCAGCAGGGACGAAGCGAAAGUGACGGUACCUGCAGAAGAAGCUCCGGCUAACUACGUGCCAGCAGCCGCGGUAAUACGUAGGGGGCGAGCGUUGUCCGGAUUUAUUGGGCGUAAAGAGCUCGUAGGCGGUCUGUCGCGUCGGAUGUGAAAACCUAGGGCUCAACUCUGGGCUUGCAUUCGAUACGGGCAGACUAGAGUUCGGUAGGGGAGACUGGAAUUCCUGGUGUAGCGGUGAAAUGCGCAGAUAUCAGGAGGAACACCGGUGGCGAAGGCGGGUCUCUGGGCCGAAACUGACGCUGAGGAGCGAAAGCGUGGGUAGCGAACAGGAUUAGAUACCCUGGUAGUCCACGCCGUAAACGUUGGGCGCUAGGUGUAGGGGACCUUCCACGUCCUCUGUGCCGCAGCUAACGCAUUAAGCGCCCCGCCUGGGGAGUACGGCCGCAAGGCUAAAACUCAAAGGAAUUGACGGGGGCCCGCACAAGCGGCGGAGCAUGUGGCUUAAUUCGAUGCAACGCGAAGAACCUUACCUGGGUUUGACAUGUACGGAAAUCCGGCAGAGAUGUCGGGUCCGCAAGGGUCGUACACAGGUGGUGCAUGGUUGUCGUCAGCUCGUGUCGUGAGAUGUUGGGUUAGUCCCCGCACGAGCGCAACCCUUGUCCUGUGUUGCCAGCACGUGAU